GAUGAACGCUGGCGGCGUGCUUAACACAUGCAAGUCGAACGAUGAAGCCCAGCUUGCUGGGUGGAUUAGUGGCGAACGGGUGAGUAACACGUGAGUAACCUGCCCUUAGCUCUGGGAUAAGCCUGGGAAACUGGGUCUAAUACCGGAUAGGAGCGUCCACCGCAUGGUGGGUGUUGGAAAGAUUUAUCGGUUUUGGAUGGACUCGCGGCCUAUCAGCUUGUUGGUGAGGUAAUGGCUCACCAAGGCGACGACGGGUAGCCGGCCUGAGAGGGUGACCGGCCACACUGGGACUGAGACACGGCCCAGACUCCUACGGGAGGCAGCAGUGGGGAAUAUUGCACAAUGGGCGCAAGCCUGAUGCAGCGACGCCGCGUGAGGGAUGACGGCCUUCGGGUUGUAAACCUCUUUCAGUAGGGAAGAAGCGAAAGUGACGGUACCUGCAGAAGAAGCACCGGCUAACUACGUG
rnacentral:rRNA from 1 species